UGGUUGCCGGUGCAAUUUUCUAUGCUGAUCUCUCUUUCUCUCUCUCUCUCUCGCUCUAGUAUAACGCAUACCUGACACUGUUUCUUAGGUGAUUUUUGACAUUGUUGUGGCUUCCAGUGUUUACUUGCUUUUUUUAAAUUUCAUGCUUUUGAUGUGUUCAGUUUCUGUGUGAUAUAGGCAUCCUUUAUAGGCUUCUUGAAUGUGGAAAACAACAUCGGAGUGUCACUAAAUAUGGAUGCUUAACUGAAUUUAACCUCCACUGUGGUGUUUCCCACUUGGGAUGAUGCUGGGAUGUGAAUUUGAAUGGUCAUAGCUGAUGUUUAUUAAGCACCUGGUGAAAACCAUGUCCUAGAUUGCCACCAUCCUGGAAAUGGUCAUUUAUGAUUUGAAUUUGACCUCUAAAACUUUGAGUGGGUUAUCAUAUUGACAUGCUAACUUCUCUUGCUGUUUAUCUAUAAUGUCCCCUUGAAAUGUUAGAGGCAAAGCUACACUUGAUACAAAGUUUUGUGCAUUUAUAUGGCAAUCUGUUCGAGGAACGGUAAUGUGGCACCUGGUCUGUUUGUGUCAGAGGCCCAUUAAAUUUGCUUUCGAUUUUGGCCCGGCCUUCAACUCUCCUUGUACUAAAUUUCUCUCUCUAUCGUUCUUCUGUUUUUAUAUGAAAUUAUGAAUUCUAUACUACUACCACAUUGGUGCUGGUCUCAUCAACACAAGAACCACCUGCUCUUACUUCCAAAAUAUUUAGAAUUUAGAUUUCAGAGAACUUCUCUUCCCACUCACCAAAUAAAAACACACACACACAGAUGUUUCCAAUUGGAUGUCUAUAGGAAACGAGUUGCAAAGGAAACUGCAGUUACAAAUCGAGGAACAUGCGAGGUACCUCCAAAAGAUGGCCGAUGAACGACAGAUAUGCGGUGAGAAUCUAGUCAGAAGCCAGAAUUUGUACAUUCCUUUUCAGAGAAACAUCUCAUAGAUCUUGAAACAUUGAAUCAAGUUAUGAACUUUUGGACAGGACUCCAUCAAGAUUCAGUUUUGGAGAUGGCCAAGAGUCAUGAAUGAGCUGGUGGCAGGCUUAGACCACAUCUGGGUUGUGGGUCUUACUUUAGCAUGAGACAGUGAUGCCAUCAGAGUCGAGUCAAGUCAAUUCAUCAAUAUAUAUUGUCCGGGGGUCAUCUUAAACAGACAGGUCACCUAUGGGAUGUAAAGAGUGUUGACUGGCACCCUACAAAAUGUUUGCUCGUUUCAGGUUCGGAUUUUUAUGAUACUGUGAAGGAGCUUGAACCUUAUUGUGGACAUCGCAAGGAUGUAACUGUGGCAGCAAUAACCACACAAUCAGGUUUUUGUGUAGAAACUGACCGGGAGAUACUUCACGUGAGAAACAUGUUGCUGACUACAAUCAAGGUACAGGUGAUGGUGCUGUUCUUGUAGCCUGCCUAUCAAGCAAUUUCCCAUUACCAGAAGCCCCACCCAUAAGAAAUUACGCGAGAGCUUAUGUAUGUGGAAGUGUCUAUCAAUGGAAAACCUACUAAGGCUAUGAUAGAAGGAAAAUAGAAAAGAAAAACAAAUGAAAAAUGACUGGCUAAGGUAUUUGAUUUGGAAAGUAUACAAAAGAGACUAUUUUUUUUUAAUAAAACAAGGUCGC